GAAAUGCGAUAAGUCGUGUGAAUUGCAGAAUUCAGUGAAUCAUCGAAUCUUUGAACGCACAUUGCGCCCUUUGGUAUUCCUUAGGGCAUGCCUGUUCGAGCGUCAUCUAAACCUUCACGCCCUGCUUGGUGUUGGGUGCCUGUCCCGCCUCCGCGCGCGGACUCACCUCAAAUCCAUUGGCGGCCCCCGCGUCGGCCACGAGCGCAGCAGAAACGCGAACUCGUGAGCCCGUCCGGGCGGCUCCCAGAAGCUACACCCACCCAGUUUGACCUCGGAUCAGGUAGGGAUACCCGCUGAACUUAAGC
rnacentral:misc_RNA from 1 species